rnacentral:rRNA from 1 species
AGAUUGAACGCUGGCGGCAGGCCUAACACAUGCAAGUCGAGCGGUAGAGAGGUGCUUGCAUCUCUUGAGAGCGGCGGACGGGUGAGUAAUGCCUAGGAAUCUGCCUAGUGGUGGGGGAUAACGUUCGGAAACGGACGCUAAUACCGCAUACGUCCUACGGGAGAAAGCGGGGGACCUUCGGGCCUCGCGCCAUUAGAUGAGCCUAGGUCGGAUUAGCUAGUUGGUGAGGUAAUGGCUCACCAAGGCGACGAUCCGUAACUGGUCUGAGAGGAUGAUCAGUCACACUGGAACUGAGACACGGUCCAGACU